CGUUUUCUUUCUCCUCUGCGAGCUUCCAAGAUGACAAAGAAAAAAAGGAACAACGAUCGUGCCAAAAAGGGCCGCGGCCAUGUUCAGCCUGUUCACUGCACGAACUGUGCCGGAUGCAUGCCCAAGGACAAGGCCAUUAAGAAAUUCAUCAUUUGAAACAUAGUGGAGGCCGCAGCAGUCAGGGAUAUUUCUGAAGCGAGCGUCUUUGAUGCCUAUGUACUUCCCAAGCUCUAUGUGAAGCUACAUUACUGUGUGAGUUGUGCAAUUCACAGCAAAGUAGUCAGGAAUCGAACUCGUGAAGCCCGCAAGGACCGAACACCCCCACCCUGAUUUAGACCUGCAGGUGCUGCCCCACGACCCCCGCCAAAACCCAUGUAAGGAGCUGAGUAAAAGAUUGAAGACAACUAUUCUCUGGAGAAAAAUAAAAUGGAAAUUGUACUUGA